rnacentral:rRNA from 1 species
GACUCGAUCAGGUAGAUACACGGAC